CCUACGGGUGGCUGCAGUGGGGAAUAUUGGACAAUGGGGGGAACCCUGAUCCAGCCAUGCCGCGUGUGUGAAGAAGGCCCUCGGGUUGUAAAGCACUUUCAGUGAGGAAGAACGCCUGGUGGUUAAUACCCAUCAGGAAAGACAUCACUCACAGAAGAAGCACCGGCUAACUCCGUGCCAGCAGCCGCGGUAAUACGGAGGGUGCGAGCGUUAAUCGGAAUUACUGGGCGUAAAGCGCGCGUAGGUGGCUUGAUAAGCCGGUUGUGAAAGCCCCGGGCUCAACCUGGGAACGGCAUCCGGAACUGUCAAGCUAGAGUGCAGGAGAGGAAGGUAGAAUUCCCGGUGUAGCGGUGAAAUGCGUAGAGAUCGGGAGGAAUACCAGUGGCGAAGGCGGCCUUCUGGACUGACACUGACACUGAGGUGCGAAAGCGUGGGUAGCAAACAGGAUUAGAUACCCGGGUAGGC
rnacentral:rRNA from 1 species